GAUGAACGCUGGCGGCGUGCCUAAUACAUGCAAGUCGAGCGAACGGACGAGAAGCUUGCUUCUCUGAUGUUAGCGGCGGACGGGUGAGUAACACGUGGAUAACCUACCUAUAAGACUGGGAUAACUUCGGGAAACCGGAGCUAAUACCGGAUAAUAUUUUGAACCGCAUGGUUCAAAAGUGAAAGACGGUCCUGCUGUCACUUAUAGAUGGAUCCGCGCUGCAUUAGCUAGUUGGUAAGGUAACGGCUUACCAAGGCAACGAUGCAUAGCCGACCUGAGAGGGUGAUCGGCCACACUGGAACUGAGACACGGUCCAGACUCCUACGGGAGGCAGCAGUAGGGAAUCUUCCGCAAUGGGCGAAAGCCUGACGGAGCAACGCCGCGUGAGUGAUGAAGGUCCUCGGAUCGUAAAACUCUGUUAUUAGGGAAGAACAUAUGUGUAAGUAACUGUGCACAUCUUGACGGCACCUAAUCAGAAAGCCACGGCUAACUACGUG
rnacentral:rRNA from 1 species